UACUAACUCUUUCUUCGUGCUUAACACAUGCAAGUCGAACGGAAAGGCCCUGCUUUUGUGGGGUGCUCGAGUGGCGAACGGGUGAGUAACACGUGAGUAACCUGCCCUUGACUUUGGGAUAACUUCAGGAAACUGGGGCUAAUACCGGAUAGGAGCUCCUGCUGCAUGGUGGGGGUUGGAAAGUUUCGGCGGUUGGGGAUGGACUCGCGGCUUAUCAGCUUGUUGGUGGGGUAGUGGCUUACCAAGGCUUUGACGGGUAGCCGGCCUGAGAGGGUGACCGGCCACGUUGGGACUGAGAUACGGCCCAGACUCCUACGGGAGGCAGCAGUGGGGAAUAUUGCACAAUGGGCGGAAGCCUGAUGCAGCAACGCCGCGUGCGGGAUGACGGCCUUCGGGUUGUAAACCGCUUUCGCCUGUGACGAAGCGUGAGUGACGGUAAUGGGUAAAGAAGCACCGGCUAACUACGUG
rnacentral:rRNA from 1 species